GAUGAACGCUGGCGGCGUGCCUAAUACAUGCAAGUCGAGCGAACGGACGAGAAUCUUGCUUCUCUGAUGUUAGCGGCGGACGGGUGAGUAACACGUGGAUAACCUACCUAUAAGACUGGGAUAACUUCGGGAAACCGGAGCUAAUACCGGAUGAUAUUUUGAACCGCAUGGUUCAAAAGUGAAAGACGGUCUUGCUGUCACUUAUAGAUGGAUCCGCGCUGCAUUAGCUAGUUGGUAAGGUAACGGCUUACCAAGGCAACGAUGCAUAGCCGACCUGAGAGGGUGAUCGGCCACACUGGAACUGAGACACGGUCCAGACUCCUACGGGAGGCAGCAGUAGGGAAUCUUCCGCAAUGGGCGAAAGCCUGACGGAGCAACGCCGCGUGAGUGAUGAAGGUCUUCGGAUCGUAAAACUCUGUUAUUAGGGAAGAACAUAUGUGUAAGUAACUGUGCACAGCUUGACGGUACCUAAUCAGAAAGCCACGGCUAACUACGUG
rnacentral:rRNA from 1 species